rnacentral:rRNA from 1 species
UACGAAGGGGGCUAGCGUUGCUCGGAAUCACUGGGCGUAAAGCGCGCGUAGGCGGCCCGGUCAGUCCGCUCUGAAAGUCCAGGGCUCAACCCUGGAAUGCGGGUGGAUACUGCCGGGCUAGAGUUCGGAAGAGGCAAGUGGAAUUCCUGGUGUAGCGGUGGAAUGCGCAGAUAUCAGGAGGAACACCUAUAGCGAAGGCAGCUUGCUGGGACGACACUGACGCUAAGGCGCGAAAGCGUGGGGAGCGAACAGG